UACGUAGGGGUCCGAGCGUUGUCCGGAAUUAUUGGGCGUAAGGCGCGUAGGCGGCGCCACAAGUCACUUGUGAAAACUCUGGGCUCAACCCAGAGCCGUGCAGGCGAAACUGUGGUGCUGGAGUGAUGGGAGAGGUGCGUGGAAUUCCCGGUGUAGCGGUGAAAUGCGUAGAGUAUCGGGAGGAACACCAGUGGCGAAGGCGGUUCUCUGGGCCUUACCGUGACGCUGAGGAGCGAAAGCGUGGGGAGCAACAGG
rnacentral:rRNA from 1 species